rnacentral:rRNA from 1 species
AGAGUUUGAUCCUGGCUCAGAAUCAACGCUGGCGGCGCGCCUAACACAUGCAAGUCGAACGAGAAAGUGGAGCAAUCCAUGAGUACAGUGGCGUACGGGUGAGUAACACGUGGGUUAUCUGCCCUUUGGUGGGGAAUAACUCUGGGAAACCGGAGCUAAUACCGCAUAAAUCCUGAGAAGGAAAAGCAGCAAUGCGCCGAAGGAGGAGCCCGCGGCCGAUUAGCCAGUUGGUAGGGUAAUGGCCUACCAAAGCAAAGAUCGGUAGCCGGCCUGAGAGGGCACACGGCCACACUGGCACUGAAACACGGGCCAGACUCCUACGGGAGGCAGCAGUGGGGAAUCUUGCACAAUGGGGGAAACCCUGAUGCAGCGACGCCGCGUGAGCGAUGAAGCCCUUCGGGGUGUAAAGCUCUUUCGGCAGGGAAGAUUAUGACGGUACCUGCAGAAGCAGCUGCGGCUAACUACGUGCCAGCAGCCGCGGUAAUACGUAGGCAGCAAGCGUUGUUCGGAGUUACUGGGCGUAAAGGGUGUGUAGGCGGCUCCCUAAGUUUGGUGUGAAAUCUCCCGGCUCAACCGGGAGGGUGCGCCGAAUACUGAGGGGCUAGAGUGCGGGAGAGGAAAGUGGAAUUCCUGGUGUAGCGGUGAAAUGCGUAGAUAUCAGGAGGAACACCGGCGGUGUAGACGGCUUUCUGGACCGUAACUGACGCUGAAACACGAAAGCGUGGGUAGCAAACAGGAUUAGAUACCCCUGUAGUCC